rnacentral:rRNA from 1 species
GACGAACGCUGGCGGCGUGCUUAACACAUGCCAGUCGAACGGAAAGGCCUGCUUUCCCUUGUGGAUUGCGGGUACUCGAGUGGCGAACGGGUGAGUAACACGUGAGUGAUCUGCCCCCAACUUGGGUAUAAGCCUGGGAAACUGGGUCUAAUUCCCGAUAGGACUGCAGGGUGGUGCCUGUGGUGGAAAACGAUUUUCUAGUGGUUGGGGAUGAGCUCGCGGCCUAUCAGCUUGUUGGUGGGGUAAUGGCCUACCAAGGCGGCGACGGGUAGCCGGCCUGAGAGGGUGGACGGCCGCAUUGAGACUGGGAUACGGCCCAGACUCCUACGGGAGGCAGCAGUGGGGAAUAUUGCACAAUGGGCGGAAGCCUGAUGCAGCGACGCCGCGUGGGGGAUGACGGCCUUCGGGUUGUAAACUCCUUGCGACCGCGAGGAAGCCACCUGGUUGGAAGGGUGGUGACGGUAGUGGUAGAAGAAGCACCGGCUAACUACGUG